rnacentral:piRNA from 1 species
UAUAAUGUCUAAUAUAUCUACCAUGGUCCC